rnacentral:lncRNA from 1 species
GAUCAAUUAAUCAGUCAACCAACCAACCAAUCAAUAACACUGAAGCCUCCUGUAUUGUUUUUUUUUUUUUUUUUUUUUUUUUUUUUUUUUUUUUUUUUUUUUUUUUUUUUUUUUUUUUUUUUUUUUUUUUUUUUUUUUUUUUUUUUUUUUUUUUUUUUUUUUUUUUUUUUUUUUUUUUUUUUUUUUUUUUUUUUUUUUUUUUUUUUUUUUUUUUUUUUUUUUUUUUUUUUUUUUUUUUUUUUUUUUUUUUUUUUUUUUUUUUUUUUUUUUUUUUUUUUUUUUUUUUUUUUUUUUUUUUUUUUUUUUUUUUUUUUUUUUUUUUUUUUUUUUUUUUUUUUUUUUUUUUUUUUUUUUUUUUUUUUUUUUUUUUUUUUUUUUUUUUUUUUUUUUUUUUUUUUUUUUUUUUUUUUUUUUUUUUUUUUUUUUUUUUUUUUUUUUUUUUUUUUUUUUUUUUUUUUUUUUUUUUUUUUUUUUUUUUUUUUUUUUUUUUUUUUUUUUUUUUUUUUUUUUUUUUUUUUUUUUUUUUUUUUUUUUUUUUUUUUUUUUUUUUUUUUUUUUUUUUUUUUUUUUUUUUUUUUUUUUUUUUUUUUUUUUUUUUUUUUUUUUUUUUUUUUUUUUUUUUUUUUUUUUUUUUUUUUUUUUUUUUUUUUUUUUUUUUUUUUUUUUUUUUUUUUUUUUUUUUUUUUUUUUUUUUUUUUUUUUUUUUUUUUUUUUUUUUUUUUUUUUUUUUUUUUUUUUUUUUAAUAUCUUUGCCUCUGGGCCUGGUGCCUGUUGCAAAAGAGUUUAACAGUGUGAAGUUGCUUUGGCGAGGUAAGAAGUUAAAUGUUCUUUUUACCAGGGGCACAGUUAACUCUUGUCCACUAAUCCAGCAGAAGAUGAAAAAUGAGGCAAUGGUGAAGAGCCUCUUCCCCACAUCCAGGAGUUGUCCGUCAAAUAUGGAAGGCAUUUCAGAGGGAGGAGAGCAAUGAGACCAGGUUUUGACCCAGGAUGUAUAUAGGAAGCCAAGUAAUAUAUCUGAGAGUAGAUGGUAAUUUGUUGACAAGGGGUGUCUAGGUUUAAGGGCAGAGGG